rnacentral:rRNA from 1 species
CCUACGAGUGGCAGCAGUGAGGAAUAUUGGUCAAUGGACGCAAGUCUGAACCAGCCAUGCCGCGUGCAGGAUGACGGCUCUAUGAUUUGUAAACUGCUUUUGUACGAGGGUAAACGCAGAUACGUGUAUCUUUCUUAAAGUAUCUUACGAAUAAGGAUCGGCUCACUCCGUGCCAGCAGCCGCGGUAAUACGGAGGAUUCAAGCGUUAUCCGGAUUUAUUGGGUUUAAAGGGUGCUUAGGCGGUCGGAUAAGUUAGAGGUGAAAUUCCGAGGCUCAACUUCAGAAUUGCCUCUGAUACUGUUGGGCGAGAGAGUAGUUGAGGUAGGCGGAAUGGAUGGUGUAGCGGUGAAAUGCUUAGAGAUCAUACAGAACACCGAUUGCGAAGGCAGCCUACCAAGCUACGUCUGACGUUGAGGCACGAAAGCGUGGGGAGCAAACAGGAUUAGAUACCCCAGUAGUC